UCUCUUUCCUUCUCGUUCUUCUUCUUUCUCUUCUCUUUCUUCUGUUCUGCUUCUGUGAGAUGAUUUUUGAGGUAAAGCUUGAGAGGAUUGUUUAUUGAGCAUGAGCAGAUUAAGUAGAAGAUGUUGAUGAUGUUUUUGAGUGGCUGAGGGUGACGUUGUUGAUACGGUUGUUGAUUUUGGACUUCCCAAAAGAAGGUAAAUCAGAGAUCGAAUUUAGGGUUUCUUUUCAAAUGAAAUUGAAGAUGAGAUCGAAACAAGAAGAGGAAGAUCAAAGAUGGGUCACUGUUAGUGAUGAUUGUUUUGUAGCUUUUGUAAGAUUGAAGUAUUUUCAUGGAUUAGGGCUCUUGGAAGAAAUCGAACUGAACUGGUAGGUGCUUGCUACCUUAAGAAGAAUUGGAUGAAAUCGUUAAAUGGGUUGGUUUAACUAUUGGAUUUAAACUUCAUAGAUUAGGGUUCUUGUUAAAGCAGUGACUUAGAAUUUGUGGGAUUGAGUAUUAGUUGAGAGAGAUGGAAUUUGGUGGUGAGAAGAUUAGCUGAGCAAAGAUGAGUUGAGGUAAUUGUUCUUCUGUGUUGAUUGGUGAAGUUAUUUAGUUUUGUUUGAUUAGUGAUGGGUUUGACACGAAUUAAGAUUUAAGGUAGAAUAUUAGCCUAGAAUCGAUGAUUUGAAGUUGUUAUAAAAUUAGGGUAUGGUUCUAUGGUUAAGAAGAUGAUGGAGUUGUUUCAAAUAAUCGAUGAUGGUAAUUACAGAAGUUUAAAUUGGGCACUUGGUGUUGAUUGAAGCUGAAAUGAGUGGACAGUGAAGACUCAAUUUCUUGAGCAAAACUGAUUUGAGGUAAUUAUCUUCUUAAUAACUUUUCUAAGCUAUUGAUUUCAGUGAAUGAGUUUAUGGGUUUGUUGAUUUGCAAGUAAGUUGGUAGAACUGGUGGUUUGUGAAUAUUAGGAUUGGAGAUGGGUUAUUAAGAAUUGAUGGAUUUUGCUGAAGUUAUAGUUGUUGAAGAUGGUGUUAGUACUAAGUCUUGAAUGGGUUGGUGAUGUUGUGUUAAAUUGCAGCUGCAAGAUAUGAAGAUAUGACUGAAGUUUAUUUGGAACGGUAAUGAUUGGUUGGUACUGUUAUGAUACAGAAAAGGAGCUGAACGUCUAUUGGAGUUAUUGUUGUCUGAGUAGAUUGAAUUUGGUAGUACAGGAAUGAGAACUAUGGUAAUUGCAGGUACAAAUAGAAUGAUCUAGUGCUGGUGCUGAGAUGGAGUCGCAGGUUAUGAGGGUUUGGUGAGUAUAAGAUUAUGGACUGGUUAAGAGAAUUGAAGUGUAAAGUUUAUGUGGUAAAUGUGAGAUGCAGGGUAUGAGAUUUGUACUAAUGCUGGGAAUAUGUUGAGUGAUAAGGAGAUUGGUGGAGAUGGUGAUUACAGGUUGUAAUGAUGGUGAUGAAUUGAGUUUGACAUCAGUUAAGAGGUGUGUUUGGUUGUCACAGGACAUGAAUGUUGCCUUGAAUGUAUAUGAAGUUGUGGAUGGUGCAGGUUUAGUCAGAUUCAGAGUUUAGAGAUGACGUUCUUGUUUGUAUGUUGAAUUGAGAAAGUAGAGAUUAUGUGAGAGUAGUGAUUGUAGAAUCCAGUUGGGUAGUCUCAUUGGAAGCUUGGAGCUGCAAUUGCAGUUAGUCUAUUAUCAACGAUCGAUUCAAAGGAUGAACCAGCGGAUCGUGGUUCUCGAGGUAGGUGUGGCUUGUCAUCAAAAGAGCUUUCAGAGACAGAUCAGAGUUGUGCAGCGAAAGACACAAGUGUUGACUCCGUUAAUUAGUUAACUUCCGCUAUGUUUAUUAUGUUGUUUAUUGUAUCUGUAAACCAAUUGAAUAUUAUAUAUGUAUCAUUUGAG